rnacentral:rRNA from 1 species
GAUGAAUGCUGGCGGCGUGCUUAACACAUGCAAGUCGAACGAUGAAGCCCAGCUUGCUGGGUGGAUUAGUGGCGAACGGGUGAGUAACACGUGAGUAACCUGCCCUUAACUCUGGGAUAAGCCUGGGAAACUGGGUCUAAUACCGGAUAGGAGCGUCCACCGCAUGGUGGGUGUUGGAAAGAUUUAUCGGUUUUGGAUGGACUCGCGGCCUAUCAGCUUGUUGGUGAGGUAAUGGCUCACCAAGGCGACGACGGGUAGCCGGCCUGAGAGGGUGACCGGCCACACUGGGACUGAGACACGGCCCAGACUCCUACGGGAGGCAGCAGUGGGGAAUAUUGCACAAUGGGCGCAAGCCUGAUGCAGCGACGCCGCGUGAGGGAUGACGGCCUUCGGGUUGUAAACCUCUUUCAGUAGGGAAGAAGCGAAAGUGACGGUACCUGCAGAAGAAGCACCGGCUAACUACGUG